UACGGAGGGGCUAGCGUUGUCCGGAAUCAUUGGGCGUAAAGCGCGCGUAGGCGGCCAGAUAAGUCCGGUGUGAAAGUCACAGGCUCAACCUGUGAAUGCCGCUGGAAACUGUCUGGCUAGAGUCCGGAAGGGGCGAGUGGAAUUCCUGGUGUAGCGGUGAAAUGCGCAGAUAUCAGGAGGAACACCAAUGGCGAAGGCAGCUCGCUGGAACGGUACUGACGCUGAGGCGCGAAAGCGUGGGGAGCGAACAGG
rnacentral:rRNA from 1 species